GGGCGGAACCAGGAAAUAUCUUGUGUGAGGACGUGAAGUAAGAGAGUGAAGUGGCAGGAUAGACAAAAGUAGGGCAUCUAGGGGGAUAUGGGAAUGUUUGUUAGUGAUUGUGAUUUCUGCUAUAAGGGUAACGAUUAGGCAGAAGGCUAAAAUGAGGGAGACUUUUUGGCUAGUAUUCCGAUUGGAAGGAGUUACAUUAUAUAAUUUCACUGUAAACAAUAGGCUUUCUUGGGGAAGAAAACACAUGCACAAAUCCUGGUGUAAGGAAUAUUUUAAGCAUAUAUCUUCAAUAUCAUUCAUCCAGGACCGAGCAAGACCAACACUCUUCCUCCUCCUCUGCCUACUCAAUGUGAAGACAAUGAGGAUGAACACCUUUAUGAUGCUCCACUUCCACUUAUUGAAUAGUGCUACACAUGAAACUUGUAACCAGUUACUACAGGCGAAAGCAAAUCCAUGUCUUCAGGCUGGUGUCAUCAGGGAGAGAAGCUUUGGUUUCCACAUAAGGAUAUAAGAUCAUUGAUGUAAAACAAGACAUGUAACCUCUCAAAUUGAGAGAAUGGAUUGGAGAGAUAUUGUUGACCAUGUUUUCCCCUGUAUCUCACCUUCCCCUCUCCAAGACUUCCUUGUCAGUUACCCAUAUUGAUAUCAGUUUAUCCACAUCCAUGCUUUCAAGUUUAAACAAAGAAACUAGGCAAAGGCAGCUAUGUAUUCGCUAGGAUUAGGGAGGAGAAGAUAAUGAACCACUGGAUAGUGAGAAGAAAGAGAGGUGGAGAAAGUGAGAGACCCCAGUAACAGAGGACAGGGACACAUUGCUAAGGAUAGGGACACAUUCACUGUAAUAUAGAAGGCCAUGCUUAUAUGUAAAAUAUGCAGUAAUUGUAUAUAUAUGUACAAAAGUGAUGACACACAUAUGCACAUAAACAAAACACAAUUACUGUCUAUGUUUCUUUAUUUGUGACCUAAUGUUUUAUGUUGUUUGUAACUGAAAAAAAAAUUCCCUUCUGAAUAAAAUGUCAAUUUUGCGAUUGCA
rnacentral:lncRNA from 1 species